GUCGAAGCAAAUAUUUUGUAAAUAUGAGCCGUUUUCGUAACGCGAUCAUGCUUAUUUGUGCUUCUUAUGAAAGAUGAGUGUCUUAUGAUUAAUUUGUAGUAAAAUUGCUGCCUGUUACGCUUACACAUCGCUUUAGAAUUUGUUUGAAGAGUGGCAUGUUUAUGGUCCCGAGUUGUGGUUUAUGCUGUCUACGAGUUUAAUAAUGAAGAGGAGUUUUAAAUAAUAAUGAAGAGGAUUAUAAUACUAAACUGCUUCUGGAUUUUCUUCUUAUCAUGGUGAGGACAAUAUUCUACGCCGUAAGAAAUAACGGUUUAAUACUUGUUUUCAAAGAUAAAAAGAGCAUUUGAGUUUACAACAUUGUGUGUUAAUAGUGUUAUUUUGCCUAUAAUUCCAACUCUGUAAUCUAAAAACAGUAACACUGCCACUGGAAAUGUUUCGUAAUAUGUGAUAUGUUGUUCGUUUUGUUAUUUUCUUUAUGAAUCAGUGUAUAAUUAUAACGACAUGUGGUAUAAAUAUUACAGGGUUCCCACCUUUUAAUCAAAGCCCCGUUUACACGAGCAAAUUUUAUUUGACAAAUUUCGUAUGUCAAAGAUAUUUUGCUGGUGUAGAUGAUAAAUUUGUGACAAAUUCAUUGUGACAAAUGCAUUUGAUCAAAAGCUAGCAUGUUAGCUUUUGAUCAAAUGCAUUUGUCACAAUGAAAUUUGUCAAAUAAAUGUGCUUGUGUAAACGGGGCUUAUAUAAAAUCCAAGGAAUUUUCCAGGAUUUUCAAGGACCUUAUCAAUUUUCAAGGACUUUCAAGGACCUAGGAACUGGACAAAUCUUUGAAAAUGGCCUAAGGCUUGCUACUAAACUCGAGGAAAGCAAGAAUGUCAUGUACUAUACUAAUUCAUUGUUCUUAAUACAGUAAACUUGUUUUGGACUAUCAUACUUAAUUUUUAUUGAAAUUGAAGAAAAUGAGUAAUUUAGGCAUCCUUCAACUAUUACCAGCCCAACUGAAAGAAAAUUCCAGGACUUGCAAGGACUGUAUCAAUUUUCAAGGACUUUCCAGGCCUGGAAUUUUUGUUCAUAUUCAAGGACUUUCCAGGAUUUUCAAGGGCGUGGGGACCCUGAUAUUAACCAUGACUGAAACAUAGCUUUAUUUUUUAGGCCUGUAAUGAAAGAAAAGACAUUGAAUAGAAUGAAAAAUCUAUAGAUGCUGUUUAGAAUUUUAUAUUAGCUUGAUAUUUAUUAGUCAUAUUCCAAAAAGGAGUGGCAGACACAGGGUCAUACCGAGCUGGAUGGGUGUGGGUAUGGCACCCCCACUUUCUGAAAAACUCUUUGUUAAUUAAACAGAGAUUAUGUUGAAAAUGUGACUUGUCCAUAUAUUGAUUGAAACUGGUCAGUAAAUGGAUAAAAAUGUUGAGUUAGUCUGUAAUGUGAAAAGGCUGUACAGGAACAUCCCCCACCCAGAGUGGUCUUGGUAUGUCACUGACAUUUGGGAGGGUAAACUGGGGUGACUCCUUGUCAGUCUAAUCAGUGCCGGAGCUAGCCAUAGCAACUGGUUGUGCUGUGGUAAUAAAUGCAAACUUAAGCAGUCCAAAGACAAUAAAUUUCUAAAUACUUGAAUAAUUCAAAUUGCUAAAAAAUUGUAUAGCAAGACCAGUUGCUGUAAUGGCUUAGUAGCUCUGCACACCAUUACAUUUAUCUCUGAUAGAGUUUCAUCCAAAAAAGGUUAACAUAAAUUUUGAGGAAUGACAAUUCUGAGAAUUGAUAUGAAGCAACUGAAUGACAUGAGAAAAUCAGCAACAAAAAUUUAUCUGUCAAAUAUUUUAAUAUAUAAGUGUCUGCCACUGGUUCCAGAGUACCAAGUUUGUUUUUAAAAAAAUAUGUAAUGUGUGUGUAUGAUAUUGUCACUGAAUCAGUUUAUGAAUAAAGUUAAUAAAGAUUGUGAUGAAUUUGCUUGAAUAUUAUAUGAUUCCACAUGCUGCAUUUGCAAGAUUUCCUGUGUUUUUUUUAUAUGGUUCUGGUAGGCAACAAGGCAAACCUUAUGUUGCUUGUUUGCAUGCCGUCAUGAAUGUAUACCCUACAAGAUGGUUUAAUUAUGAAAAUAUUUGUACAUACAAGCUAAAGUGCCAUAAAUACGACAAGUAUUUUUCAAGAACUUGACAAACAUAUGUUUGAUACACCUGUGGAUGACAAUCAUACAUUAAAACUGAUUAAGACAAUCUCGCAAUGCUACUGCAAGGUUCGUUUUCACCAUCUUGCAAAAUCAUACACAGACAAGUUAUCUACAAAUAGAGUUAGGAAGAAGUUAACCAAAUUAGUGUUAUUUGAACAUCAGUGAAUCCUUCACAAUAAACAUUAAGAUUUACGCCUGUAUUCUACAAGCUCACUGAGUGCAUGUGAAACGGAAAUCGCAUUUCUGCUGAUCAAUGAUAGAAUCCUUUCUCAAUCAAUAGCAAGACUUUUAGUAAAAUGAUCAAAAACAAACUCUCAAACGAGUGCAAAUUUAUAAGUCUUGUAAUGGUGAUAAGGUGAUUGUGAUCUCCCACUCAGUGAGUAUCAGUGCGCUUUUAGAAUACAGGCCUUAGAUUUCUAUAGCAAAAAUUUACUUGAAUAAUUCGACCACACUAAUAGCCAAGCAAUCAAGUUUAUUAAAUGUAAAUAUUGUACAUAAACUGCCACUGCAUAUUUAUUACUGUAAG
rnacentral:lncRNA from 1 species